rnacentral:snRNA from 1 species
UAUCUAGUGUUUUCUGUUUUUGAU